rnacentral:tRNA from 1 species
GGUACGAUGGCGAGUGGUCUAAGGCGCUGGAUUUAGGCUCCAGUCUUCGGCGUGGGUUCGAAUCCCACUCGUAUCA